rnacentral:tRNA from 1 species
CGGGGUGUAGCACAGUUGGCUAGCGCGUCCGCUUUGGGAGCGGGAGGUCGUGAGUUCGAGUCUCACCACCCCGA